UGAGUAAGACAGAUAAUCGCUGCUGCUAUUGCCGAAAGGACGCAGGAGAGGAAAGUCCGGGCUUCGCAGGGCAGGAUGCCGGCUAACGGCCGGUGGAGGUGACUCCCAGGAAAGUGCAACAGAAAUAAAACCGCCUUUUUAGGUAAGGAUGAAAUGGCAGUGUAAGAGACUACCGCUUUGGUGGUAACAUCAAAGGUCAAUGUAAACCCCAUCCGAAGCAAGACCGAGCAGAAAGCAUAUGGUGGCCCGCCAGCUUUCGGGUAGGUUGCUUGAACUUGUUGGCAACAAUAAGUCUAGAUAGAUGAUUAUCCAAGACAUAACCCGGCUUACAGUCUUGCUCGCAUU
rnacentral:RNase_P_RNA from 3 species